GUUACCAACACCCCCUAGACCAGAGCAAACUAUCGAGUCGUGUGGACAGAAGCUGCAGUUUCCAGCGUAGCACUGUAUAGUAGCUGCUCUUAUUGCCGAUCCAGCUGUCGUGGUCGAAGUUCGGGUUUCUUUGGGCAGCCCCUAUCCAGCUGGUCUUCAUUUACAGCUGAACUACAUCCAGGAUCGGUUGCAGCCUUAGAAGGAAGAAGGACUAUAUUCCUGUGCGGAUGGAUUAAAAAACUACUCCAGACUGGUAGACAUGACAGAUGUGUAUUGGAAAUAUAAACAUGGACUUAAAACUUUGAUGUGUAGCAAAAAAGUUCAUCGUUGAUGAUAGUGAUUUUCUAAGCUAUAUUGACUGGAACAGGGUCAUUCUUCAGAAAUACAGAGCUGUCAAUGCUGCCAUUUUGUUGUGAAAGUCACAAUCCAUGUCAGAAGUUGCCUGUUUUACUAUACAGCAAAGAAGAAGAAAUUGUACU